UACGGGGGGGGCAAGCGUUGUUCGGAAUUACUGGGCGUAAAGGGCUCGUAGGUGGCCAACUAAGUCAGACGUGAAAUCCCUCGGCUUAACCGGGGAACUGCGUCUGAUACUGGAUGGCUUGAGUUCGGGAGAGGGAUGCGGAAUUCCAGGUGUAGCGGUGAAAUGCGUAGAUAUCUGGAGGAACACCGGUGGCGAAGGCGGCAUCCUGGACCGACACUGACACUGAGGAGCGAAAGCCAGGGGAGCAAACGUG
rnacentral:rRNA from 1 species